UUCUUCCACAGGCUAAUUGCUGGGGGAGAAGCCUCGGGCUUGCAUUCCAGAGUGACCUCGCUGCCCGAGCGGGCUUUUAGCAGCGUCUUUAGCGGCGUUUUAGUGAAGUGCGGCGCAGAAGCUGUGAGGGAGGAGAGAGGGCCACCGUAGCCUCACUACCCGUCUUCCCUUCCAUCCCCCGUGUUCACACCCACACACAGGCAGCCGGGGUCCGCACACAUCAUGGCAUUCAAGUUAGCCAUCAUUAGGACCCUCAAGUGUCAUCGUAUGUAUCAAGAGAGAAUUGAAUUUCUGGUGGAGCCAGUCAGAUGGAAGUCAUCAAAGCUCUGCAAAAAAAUCAAUACCUGGUCUACACGAGAAAGCAAGAACAAUGCCACGAGGCAGAGUUUGUAGAAUCCAAAUCAAUACUCCAAACAACUAAAAUUCAUCAUAGUCCCUGUUGAAAAUUCAGGGAUCCCAACGUUUCCACAAGAUUCAAAUCUUCGGUUUGUGACGAGGCAUCAAGACAUCUAAGAGCAUCUCAAACCUCGGCCGUCACUUGCUCCCCGUUCUUCAGCC